rnacentral:lncRNA from 1 species
UUCUUUGAUUUAUCAUUUUGAGUGGUCUCUCCCAGACAACAUGCUACCUCAACACAUGGACAUGAGUGAAAAAUUUGGAAUAACACUGCAAAAGGAGCAGCCUUUGGUCAUUAUGCUGAGCAGCAGAAAAUGAAAAUCAGUGAACAGAAUAAUUUACAGUAGCAUUUUCAUCAUUAUAUGCAAGAAAAUGGACUGUAAUUUGUGUACACAGUUUGGAGGUUGUCGAGUUUCAGUAAGUUCACUGUCCAUUGCAGAAUUACUAUCUCUAUGAUGUAAAAUUAAGUGUCACGUUAUUGCUGUGCCAGCCAGGAACAACAAUUUUAUGUACCAAAGUAACAAGAAGAAUAACAACAAAGAAAAUUGACUGAUUCAGAAAUUUCUUCACAAAACCAAAUACUAUCAUUAAGCACCGAGUGAAAUAUAUAUAGGCACGUAGAUGAACAAAGAUGGGAAACGAACCAUCAAGAACAAACGUGGCUUCGUAAUUGCCAUCAUUCAAUGCACAUGACACACCAUUGUCAUCUUACUGCAUCAUUCUCAAUCCCAUAACCCGUGAAAAGAUUUGGUAUUCAACCUUUUUUUAUAUGCAAGCAGAUAUAAAGAACGUAAGAGUAAUUCUAACAUUUGAAUCAACCACGUUUGUAAUUCUAUUUUUUUCCAUUUUGACAUUCGCCUGAGCUCCUAGAAUUUAGAUUUCUCCCAAUCAAAAAAGUCAUGGCAUGGAUCAUCUAUCUAUUAGUCUCCGUAGGGUCCAAAUUCUGAAUUUUGAAGCACAAGACAUGUAUCAACACCCACUGGCAACAUUUGUAUAUUUUUGAGACAUUUGAAUGAACAGAAUUGUUUUCAUCAUCCAAGCCAAGUAUAUACAGAAAAUUUCACACAAUGUUAUUAAUGAUAAAACCCAAAAAAAACCUGGACAGAUUAGUAUAAAUGUGAACCGACCCCAAUAAAAUACAGUAGGAUGUGAAGGCUCACGUUUCUAUCCAAGUACAAGCAGAAUGGAACUGGUCAAUAUAAUAUCUACCGGAAAACAUCAAGGCAGGCAAACAGCAUUGUCUAAUCAGCUUCAGACGCCAAAAAGCCUCAACUGUAAAGACAUCUCGUACAAGGUAGUUAUCAUCUGCUAUAACACUAGGAAGAGUUUGUUCGCCUUCAUGAUGAAUAGAUCAGGGAAUGUUCUUUCACAGUGCUAGGUUACUGACUUCUCACAAUGAUGGCCCAACA